rnacentral:rRNA from 1 species
GCGAACGAGGUGCCAGGGGCCGGGGGAAUACAGGGGUCCCGAGCGUUGUUCGGAUUCACGGGGCGUAAAGGGUGAGUAGGCGGUCGGGUAAGUCUGAUGUGAAAUCUCACAGCUUAACUGUGAAACUGCAUUGGAUACUAUUCGGCUUGAGGUCUGGAGGGGGGACUGGAAUUCUCGGUGUAGCAGUGAAAUGCGUAGAUAUCGAGAGGAACACCAGUGGCGAAGGCGAGUCCCUGGACAGGUCCUGACGCUGAGGCACGAAAGCUAGGGGAGCAAACAGGAUUAGAUACCCUAGUAGUC